GCCCCAGGUGGAGCACGUGGUUUAAUUCGAUGCAACGCGAAGAACCUUACCUGGUCUUGACAUCCACAGAACUUAGCAGAGAUGCUUUGGUGCCUUCGGGAACUGUGAGACAGGUGCUGCAUGGCUGUCGUCAGCUCGUGUUGUGAAAUGUUGGGUUAAGUCCCGCAACGAGCGCAACCCUUAUCCUUUGUUGCCAGCGGUUAGGCCGGGAACUCAAAGGAGACUGCCAGUGAUAAACUGGAGGAAGGUGGGGAUGACGUCAAGUCAUCAUGGCCCUUACGACCAGGGCUACACACGUGCUACAAUGGCAUAUACAAAGAGAAGCGACCUCGCGAGAGCAAGCGGACCUCAUAAAGUAUGUCGUAGUCCGGAUUGGAGUCUGCAACUCGACUCCAUGAAGUCGGAAUCGCUAGUAAUCGUAGAUCAGAAUGCUACGGUGAAUACGUUCCCGGGCCUUGUACACACCGCCCGUCACCCCGUGGA
rnacentral:rRNA from 1 species